UACGGAGGGUGCGAGCGUUGUCCGGAAUCAUUGGGCGUAAAGGGCGCGUAGGUGGCCCGGUCAGUUCGUGGUGAAAGCGCGGGGCUCAACCCUGCGUCGGCCAUGAAUACUGCCGCGGCUGGAGCACUGUAGAGGCAGGCGGAAUUCCGGGUGUAGCGGUGGAAUGCGUAGAGAUCCGGAAGAACACCGGUGGCGAAGGCGGUCUGCUGGGCAGUUGCUGACACUGAUGCGCGACAGCGUGGGGAGCAAACAGG
rnacentral:rRNA from 1 species